GCGCAGUGCUGGGAAAAAAGGGCACAAAUGUCUGAAUAAGUGAAUAAAAGUGGCUUUAUUUCAGGUUAGAAAAUUACAUAACGCUGAAAAGAAAGUUGUGUGAAUAAGAAGGGAGGAACGAGAGGAGGAGGACCUAAGAAGCGAUAUAAAGCGUUACAGGUCAAAAGAAGAAGAAGAAGCUGAGAAGAGAAGGCGGCACAAUUUUCCCACCGAGGAAGUUUUAGCUCUCAUCACUGGGGUGAGGCAAAGACGGCAAACCAUCACAGGGCCACUGUCAUCUUGCUUCACCGCUGCAGCCAAACAACGAGGAGGUGGAGGAGGUCAGCGCCGUGGGUGGGGUCGGGCGCAGCGUGGAGGAGGUGCCCGUCAAGUUCUCCGCAAAGUCAAAUUAUAACUUUGGUUCUCCGACUUCGAGCGCCGCACCAAGAAGAAACUCGGAGACUUAAGACGUGGCGGCUCUGCACAAAUGGACAACCUCGCUGAUGCUGAGGAGGCCAUGCACAGAUGCUGUACCCUGCAGUUGUUGUGGGCACAGGAUCUGAUUUAGAAUCGGAUCCUCGUCUAACACCUUCUGUGUCCGCAGCUACUGCAGACACAGAAGUGUGUAGAAUCUUCCUUUUGAAGGAUUCUUUGACACCCACACCUCUGCAAGGCCCAUCACAGCCCCCUCCUCACCAUCCCCGCCCUACUACUACUCACCAGCUGGCCCCUCAAUUGGCAUCUGUACACUGUGCCCCAGAAACCCUAUCUCCCACUGAUGUAGGAGUGGCACCUCACGCUUCCACCAGCAGGCAGAGGAGGGUUAACCCACCAGUUGGGCUCAAAAUGGUGGAGGUUCAAGAAGAUUUUUGAAGUGAGGAGCCUGAGUGGUGCUAUGGACAAGGUAGCUGCAGCCUUGGAAAAAUUGCAGUUACCUUGUCAAAAUAAGGUGACAGGUCCAAUUAGUGGACGCUGAUCUAGGGGGGCGUGGUUGCAGGCCCUGCCCUGUCCAAUCCACACAGUAAAUUGAAUGGGGGGAAUAUGGAGGCUAUAGUCGAUCGGCUCUAACUUGAGCCCUGUGGCUUGGCCCAGUACUUUUGUCCUGAACAUAUUUCUUGACGUCCAGUUGUAGAAGAACAGCCGUCCGUCCGACCCUGGGUGAUCAUGUUACCUUGGGGCGUUGAAUUGACUCUUGCUGUACAUGGAUGACAGGAGGGAGUCCUUCGUGCUGAGGUUCAGUGAGCCAUCAAAGUACAUGCUGUUGACGUACUCCAGGAACCUGCCGGACAUACAGAGGAAGGGCAGGUGGUGAUGCUUACCUGAGUGAAGGUCUUGAUGAUGAGUGUGAGGAGCAGGUUGAUCAGCACCCAAGAGUUGAACAAGACGAACACGAAGAACAUGAUGGGCACCAGACGGGACACCUGCUGCAUCUCCUCGAACUGGAACUUGCCUGCAGGUGAAGGGGAGAAAGAUGGCUCGGCUGGCAACACUACUUAUGAUCAAGUGAGCCACCCACCGAGCAUCAUGCUGAAGCAGGUCUCCACAGCGACGACGAAGUUGUGGAAGUCGAAGAGGUACAUGUUGAGCAGCAUGAAGAACAUCGUGACGAAUGUGAAGAAGCAGAGCAGGAAGGCGACCAGGAAGCCACUCAGGUCAUCCCAGCAUUGGCUCAGUGUGGCAGACAGCAGCCCUGCAGACACAGCAUACAUUUAUUUCUCAUUAAGGAACUUGAGGUUGGCCAGCACGUCCUCAGUGUCAUUCCGGAGGUGGAUGACGUAGCCACCGCCCCCAUACCAGUCACGCCUUCCCCAGAUGGGAAGACUCUUCAGCUCCAGGGCCGUUGAGUACCUGGGGCGGGCAAACAGGUCAUCU